AGAAAAUAAAAGAAAAACAAUUUCCUUUUCUUCUUCUCCCACGCACGAUCCCCCUUUUCUUCUUCAUCUUCUCCUAUUUCUCUCCCUACCCAGUCGCCUCACAUCUCCCCUCUCCUUUUUGCUCGUCCGCCAACCACCAUCACCGCCCAAAUCUUCUCAUCCCGCCCUCGCCGUUGCACUAUUUGCCUGAAGUCGUCGUCCGUCCAGGUUACAAAGCCGCCGCGUACUGUUUCUGUUCGUGGUGCAUCCCACUGCUUCCUGCAGCCGUCAAACAUCUCCUCUCUCCCUUCUCCUUCUUUUUUCUGGCGCCGCCGUUACCCAAACCCCCAACUGCUCAUCGUGGUUCGUCAGCGCCUCCCUGCUGUCCAGAUCCGCAACCACUCGAGCCACUUCAUCACAUUGUCCGUCAUCUUCUGCUAGUUGCACUGCUCGAAAAUCCGCGUUGCUCAGCUUGCACAAGUCUUCUGCCUCACGUUUUGUGUCGUCGUGACGUUCGCAACCGUUCCACACCGCCACAACUUUCCAUAUUCCAACUAAGGGUUUUGUUCCGCUUUCGUCAACCAUCUGCACCACUGCGUUUGUUCGUCGGCCGACAGUAAGGCAGCAUCGUGCUUCUUCUUCCAGCCGCGAUUCACAUACCAAUGUACACUCUAAUCUGUUUGUACGAUCUUUGUCGUUUAGGUUCGAUCGCCGUUGCCGCUGUUUUGUUGUGUUGGAAGUAACGUUGAGUCCCUUGAAUUCACAACCAACUUGUAAAUUGUUGGAGUUCGGUUCGCUAAUACCUUGAGUCUUUCGUUGGAUAUAGUUUGUUCGAGAAAUUGAGUUACCUUGAGGCAAAGGUAAUAAAGGCGGCAAACCGGCGAGGGGCAGGAAGGAAGCGUGACCGCCACAAGGGACACUUUAAAAUUUUACCGCCACAGGGGACACUUUAAAAUUUUACUUCCGCUUAGUGAUUUAUAGUAUUAAUUGUAUUCGAACGUGAGACUGUUUAGAAAAUUUUGAGGUUUUAAAGUAUUCAAAGAUUUGAAUCUUUUUAGUUUUAAA